CAGUGGCGGACUGGUGAGUAACACGUAGGUGACCUGCCCCAAAGAGGAGAAUAACUUGACGAAAGUGAAGCUAAUACUCCAUGUGGUCAAUCAUUCGGUUGAUUGAUUAAAGCUAAGGCGCUUUGGGAGGGGCUUGCGGCCCAUCAGCUAGUUGGUAGGGUAAAGGCCUACCAAGGCGAAGACGGGUAGCUGGUCUGAGAGGACGAUCAGCCACAAUGGCACUGAAACACGGGCCAUACUCCUACGGGAGGCAGCAGUGAGGAAUAUUGCACAAUCGACGCAAGUCGGAUGCAGCAACGCCGCGUGGACGAUGAAGGCCUUCGGGUUGUAAAGUCCUUUUAAGAGGGACGAGGAAGGACGGUACCUCUUGAAUAAGUCUCGGCUAACUACGUGCCAAGCAGACGCGGUAACACGUAAGGAGGCGAGCGUGAUCCGGAUUGAUUGGGCGUAAAGCGCAUGCCAGGUGGCUAGGUAAAUCGGGUUGUGAAGCCCCCGGACUUAAUCCGGGGAGGUCAUUCGAUACUGCUUGGCUUGAGAGCGGGAGAGGGAAGUGGAAUUCUCGGUGUAGUGGUGAUAUGCGUAGAUAUCGAGAGGAACACCAGUGGCGAAGGCGGCUUCCUGGCCCGUAUCUGACACUAAGAUGCGAAAGCGUGGGUAGCAAACGGACUUAGAUACUCCGGUAGUCCACGCUGUAAACGAUGGGUACUAGAUGUAGGGGGUGUAAAACUCUCUGUGCCAUAGUCAACGCACUAAGUACCCCGCCUGGGGACUACGCUCGCAAGGCUCAAACUCAAAGGAAUUGAGCGGGGGCCCGCACAAGCAGCGGAGCGUGUGGUUCAAUUCGAAGAUACACGAAGAACCUUACCUGGGCUAGACAUGUUGGUAGUAGUGAAG
rnacentral:rRNA from 1 species